rnacentral:tRNA from 1 species
GCAGCAGUGGCUUAAUGGCUAAGAGCAAGAGUACUAUAAUCUGGAGGAACCGGGUUUGAUUCCCUGCUCUGCUGCG